GAUGAACGCUGGCGGUGUGCCUAAUACAUGCAAGUCGAGCGAACGGACGAGAAGCUUGCUUCUCUGCUGUUAGCGGCGGACGGGCGAGUAACACGUGGAUAACCUACUUAUAAGACUGGGAUAACUUCGGGAAACCGCAGCUAAUACCGGAUAAUACUUUGAACCGCAUGGUUCAAAAGUGAAAGACGGCCUUGCUGUCACUUAUAGAUGGUUCCGCGCUGCAUUAGCUAGUUGGUAAGGUAACGGUUUACCAAGGCAACGAUGCAUAGCCGACCUGAGAGGGUGAUCGGCCACACUGGAACUGAGACACGGUCCAGACUCCUACGGGAGGCAGCAGUAGGGAAUCUUCCGCAAUGGGCGAAAGCCUGACGGAGCAACGCCGCGUGAGUGAUGAAGGUCUUCGGGUCGUAAAACUCUGUUAUUGGGAAAGAACAGAUGUGUAAGUAACUGUGCACGUCUUGACGGUACCUAAUGAGAAAGCCACGGCUAACUUCGUG
rnacentral:rRNA from 1 species